CCUACUGUGCCCCGCGCGCGCACGCACCCUCCCGCUCCGGCCCGCCGCUCGCCUACCCCGCACACGCAGUACUCCGCUGGUGUUUUGCGGACUCUGCACGCACACAAACACACCACAUUGCUCACACAUCCGCAGCCUCACACACACACACACCAGUGUACGCGCCACGCUGCGCACAUUCUCCGCGUUCAACACACUGGCGUCCACGCACCCGCCCUCUCCACGCUUUCCACUUUCCUCCGCAUUCCUGUUACACACACACACACACACACACACACACACACACACACGAAUCACACAGAAUACUCCCAUACUCACAUCCGCAUAUACGCACUACGCACCCGCCCCUCUCACAUCUUCCAAAAGAGCGCGGUCUGCAUCAGAGGACUCCCAGCCCUCGGUGGAGGGCAAAAUUGGGAAUGUUACUCAAGGACAUCCCACUAGGAUGACACCAGCCGCCUCCCCCUUAAGACCUUUUGCCUCAAAGCUGGAAAAGCUCAGGAGCUGUUCCUCCCUUCCUCAUGCAUAUGACCUUAUUGCUCGCCCAGGGAUGGUUUGGGGUUUGUAAGCCACUUUCUGUUGCAAGUAUUCUGAUACAGAGUGAGAAUGGAAACAAGGGAUGGGGGCACAAGGGGCCAAGAACGUCUCCCACAUUGAUCUGUGCUCAUUAUGUGCUAGCAUUUUGAAUGUGUCAUUGAUUUUAUUCCUAUUCCAACCUCCUUUGAAAUUUAUUAUUGAUGAUGAAAUUGAGACUCAGAGUGGAUGCAGAACUUGUUCAUGAUCACAAGGAAUAGAAGUAUGGAAAGUGAUAUUUGAACCCAGGCAAAGGGAGUAGAACUUCUCUCUCCAUUAUGCUGUUUUACUGUGUUUGUACGCAAAUGUUUGAGUAAAUGUCAGAAUGAAGUUUCUGGUUCUGCAUUUUGCAACCUUAAGGUUAUAGAUAAUAUCCCUCAAAAUAAAAGAAUUGCUGAUAGGGUGCUCUGAGAAGGGACAGGAGCACU